GCCGACGUAGCUCAGCGGUAGAGCAGCUGUUCUGUAAACAGCGGGCCGGGGGUUCAAAUCCCUCCGUCGGCUCCA
rnacentral:tRNA from 1 species